rnacentral:rRNA from 1 species
AACGAACGCUGGCGGCAUGCCUAACACAUGCAAGUCGAACGGGAUCCUGGUUUCGGCCAGGUGAGAGUGGCGGACGGGUGAGUAACACGUGGGAACCUGCCUUUUGGUUCGGGAUAACCGCGGGAAACUGCGGCUAAUACCGGAUGCUCCCGAGAGGGGAAAGAUUUAUCGCCAGAAGAGGGGCCCGCGUCCGAUUAGGUAGUUGGUGGGGGAAUGGCCUACCAAGCCGACGAUCGGUAGCUGGUCUGAGAGGAUGAUCAGCCACACUGGGACUGAGAUACGGCCCAGACUCCUACGGGAGGCAGCAGUGGGGAAUAUUGGACAAUGGGGGCAACCCUGAUCCAGCAAUGCCGCGUGAGUGAUGAAGGCCUUAGGGUUGUAAAGCUCUUUUGCCAGGGAAGAUGAUGACUGUACCUGGAGAAUAAGCCCCGGCUAACUUCGUGCCAGCCGCCGCCGUAACAC